rnacentral:rRNA from 1 species
CCUACGGGCGGCAGCAGUUAAGAAUAUUCCGCAAUGGACGAAAGUCUGACGGAGCGACGCCGCGUGGAUGAAGAAUGCCGACAGGUUGUAAAAUCCUUUUAAGCCUGAGGAAUAAGCACAGUAGGGAAUGAUUGUGCGGUGACAGUAGGGCUUGAAUAAGCACCGGCUAAUUACGUGCCAGCAGCCGCGGUAACACGUAAGGUGCGAGCGUUGUUCGGAAUUAUUGGGCGUAAAGGGCAUGUAGGCGGAUAGGCAAGCUUGGUGUGAAAUGUUACAGCUUAACUGUGAGACAGCAUUGAGAACUGCGGAUCUUGAAUUACUGAAGGGUAACCAGAAUUCCACGUGUAGGGGUGAAAUCUGUAGAUAUGUGGAAGAAUACCAAUGGCGAAGGCAGGUUACCGGCAGAUAAUUGACGCUGAGGUGCGAAAGUGCGGGGAGCGAACAGGAUUAGAUACCCCUGUAGUC